GGGAGGGGUGGGUGAAGGGCAGAGGCCACAGGGUCCCGAGAGAGUGCGCUGUCUAGUCCCUCUUCAUCCUACCCCUCCAGGUCCCAGAGACCUGAGCUUUUCUUCCGUCCUUUCAGGAAGGCGCAAAGGUAGAGGGGGUCCUACCGAGGGAGGAGCUAGAGGCCACCACGACAGAUGGACCAGCCCGGUCCUGCCCCUUCAUUUUACUGUCGCGGGGUGGCGAGGAAGAACAGGAGGAGUAGAAGGUGGGCGGAGGGGAGAGGUGGGGAGCAAGGACUUGGCAGAAGCGAGCUCGACUGGCGGGAAGUCGCGAGAAGCAGGAGAGCUCUGGGUUCCAAGUCCAGGGGAGGGUCGCGGGCUGCUUCUGCCGCUUACCUGUCGCGCCCAGGAAGAGCCACAGCCGCGCGGCCUUGCAGGUCGCGGGUUUCCCGACGGGAAGUCCUGGAGGGCGGGGCCGGGGCGGGCCCUGCACUGCCGCUGGGGCGCGUCCUCCCCGCCUCUCCCGGGCCAGGUGCAGGCGGCCAUCCGCCGCGCCCCCGAGCGCUGCAGCGCGCCGCGGAACGCCCGGCUGCCCCGAGGUCGCCCCCGGCCUUAUGCACCCAGCCCGCCGCCGCCGCUGCUGGGAGCCCGGGUGCUCCAGCUUCUCCGGAUCUCAGCAAACCCCGGGGGGCAGUCUCCGUGGCCAGGUUCUCAGCGCCGGUAAAGAUUGGAGGGUCCUAGCCACCCCAAAGACGACAGGCAUUAGCCGAGCCGCUGGCGGCGGAAGCUGCUUGUUUAUGGAACCGCAGCGUGUGGCGCGCGGGCUCAGGGGCUGCGCUGCCGGAGCGCUCAGAGCCGGGCAGAGAGGCGCCCCUGGGCUCCGUCCCAGGUUUGCUUCUCAUCGCCGGGGUGGUCCUUAGCAAAUGACUCCUCCCCUCCAUCCAACAGUGAGAGCAGGGAAUUUGCUGUGUGCCCCGAACAAUGCUAAAGCCUUCAUAUGCCAGGUCUCAGGUAAAUCCCAGCCCUAGCAAAUACCUACGAUUAUUGUCCGGAAUAUACAUGGGAGACGGCUGAUAACACAGCUAGCAAGUGCUCCUCAAAAGUGUGGUUCCUUGACCAGCAGCGUCAGCGUCAUCGGAUGAUUUGUGAGAAAUGAAGAUUCUUGGGCCCCACCCCAGACCUAAAUAAUCCGAAACUCUGGGAAUGGGGCCCAGCAAUUUUAUCUUUAAAAGCCCUCCGGGUGAUUCUGGUGCAUACUCAACUUUGAGAACCACUGAACGAGUAGAGACAGAAUCCAAAUAAGUAAGUUCAGUUCCUAAAGCCACGCUCUGAAUCAUCCCCCUCAGGCUGCUCGCCACGCGCUGAAUCAUCCCCCUCGGGCUGCUCACCGGUUCAAUCCAGCUCUAAGGUUCUGUGAUGUAACCUUUUGGGUCCUUGUCUCAGUAAUAGAGAAGGACCACUCCAAAUAGCCGAUAAUUUGGAAAUUUUCUGGCGUAGAAAGUUCGACCACCAAUUCUGGUUUUCUUCUGUUUGGAUAUUUAAACGAGUUUGUGUUUCUAAGUCUGUAAGACCUGGGAGCAGGGGCGUGGGUGGGUAGAUCUGAGCAAGAAGGCAGUUGUGACAUGAACUGGGAAGGGCAGGGGAAGCUACUGGGGAUUAACAGUUGGAUGGAGAGAAGUAACCUUGUUUUCUAAUCUGGGACCCCAGGGUAGAAUUGAGCUAUUCAGAAGGAGACCAGAGUUAUUCCAGUGAUGGAUUCUGGAGAGAGGAGGCCAGUGGAGCAUGGAGAAGAAGAUCUUGCCUAGCCACACUAGAUCAGGAAGCAGAGAAACCAUCAAAGCGAGAAAUGUUUUAGGAGCCCAAGCAGAGCUGUUCCAAGUUCUGCCGUAAUCACUCAUGCAUCACAAUUCACUCUGCUCUGUGGGCCUCAACUUCCUCAUCCGUAAAAAGUUUGCGGGAUCUUAGUUCCCCAACCAGGGAUCGAACCCAGCCCCUCAUCAGUGAAAGAACAGAGUGCUAACCACUGGACCACCAGGUAAUUCCCCCAUUUUUCUUUUAUAUAACUGAAGCCUCCUUAUAUCAUACAAUGAAUAAUUGUUUACUCUCUUGGGAAACGUGGGAUAGGUGCAUUAUGACUAAGGACACUUCUACUUAAAUUACACAUGAUUUCCUUCUUAAAAGCACUCAAGAUACCCAGGAUCUGUGUGUACUUUUUAAAAAAGAGAAAUUUAAUAAUUGUGAAGAACAUCUACAUGCUUGCAAGAUUUUGCUAUGAGAACUCUUUCUGCUGAAAAUGAUGAUAUAUUAUUUAUUUAAUUUUUGACAGUAUGCGGGCCUCUCACUGUUGUGGCCUCUCCCGCUGCGGAGCACAGGCUCCGGACG